UACGGGGGGAGCAAGCGUUGUUCGGAAUUACUGGGCGUAAAGGGCCAGUAGGCGGCCAACUAAGUCGGAUGUGAAAUCCCCAGGCUCAACUUGGGAACUGCAUCCGAUACUGGAUGGCUUGAAUUCGGGAGAGGGAUGCAGAAUUCCAGGUGUAGCGGUGAAAUGCGUAGAUAUCUGGAGGAAUACCGGUGGCGAAGGCGGCAUCCUGGACCGACACUGACGCUGAGGCGCGAAAGCCAGGGGAGCGAACGGG
rnacentral:rRNA from 1 species